CCCCAACCCUAGCGCGCCUCGCGCCGGCCGCCGCCGCCGCCGCCACCACUCCCUCCCGAUGUCCGAGUCCGCGGAGCCACGGAAGGGGUAUGCCUGCUCACGUCCCGGUUCCCCGCCGCAGCGUCGGGGGCGGCGCUCUGGCCGACCAGGGACCCUCGCGGUGGUGGCUCUGGAGAUCAUCGCGUCCCCGUCUCCAUCCCCAUCCCCCGCAAGCCGGAGAGGGCGUUUCCGUCCUCACGCAAGACGGCCCGAGCGGCGGCCGCGCAGGAGCAGCACCCUCAGCUGAUUCCUUCUCCCGCCUCCCACCCUUCCCUCGUUAGCAGUGCGGUUCUAGCUCGCUCCCUCUCCCUCCGACACUCGCUGGCCAUAGAUCGAUGCUGCCGCCAAGGUUCUCUGAGACAUUCUUCGUUCUGUCUGUAGCCUAAUGAUGUUGGUGAAUGCAUGUUUCAGGAACAUAAGCACCAAGGGGAAGGUACCUCUGCAUCGGCUGCAAAGAAAUCACGCAAGCUUGGCUAUGAACAAGAGCUAUCUGAUGUGCUGCUGAUUUGAAAGAAGCCUAAGGUUGAGGGUACACUUUUGCGUGGAUCAGGUUUUGGAGAAGAAAAAGCUUCAGAGCCAAGCAAAGAGCCAGGUUGCUUCUUGCUGUGUGCGUUUCUUGAGAGAGAAUAUAGCAGAAAUGAGCUUCUCCAUCACAACAUGAAGAGCUGAGAAGGAAAUUUGCUUCCUGCUAUACAAGGGUAGGGCAGGUGCAUAGAGUUUCCAAACCUAUGCUUAUGAGUUCUUACUCUGAUUCGUUGAAUGGAUCUGCAAUAAUAAUGAAGAAUCACAAUUCGCAGGUGGCCUUGACAAACUGUGCAGGUAGUUGAGGCAUCAUUAUCUUGAAUCUUCGAGAGUUUUGUAUGUUCCUUAUGAAAAAAAAUGAGUUCAGUACUUCUUUGCUAUUGGUGGUCUAUUAGUGUGCCAAUAUCAUCACUAUGGGUUUUGAAGUUGUCUGUAUGAUCAGUGAAGGUAUGUGGUUUUUCAUUGAUAUACCUGAUUCGGUGAAGGUUUGGAAUAUGCAAACAGCAGCAGAAAUGAAUCUUACUGGAUCAAGUGGGAAAGUCUAUGCACUCGUUGUUGCCACUGAGUUAAUCUUUGCUGCAACACAGGGUUUGUACACAGAGGACGAGUAACUGCAUAAAAUGGAAGGGGAACUUAAAGCAAGGCUGCAUAGAAUGCUUACUAAAAGGGGUUAUGUAUUCAAAUUUCAACCAAGCAGUUAGAGUCUGGUGAUGCAGGUCAGCAUGUACGUCACCAUGUAUGAUUCAGAUCAAAUGGAACCAAGCAGUUCAGAAAGAGAUUGAGAUUAAAAGUCCAGGAAGGCAUGUUCAUCUACUGAUAGGUGGCAUGAUUAUUUGUAAAUUUCUAGCUACUCAAGCUAGCCUGCUAAAGAAGGCACAGAACAAAACGUAGAAAUGCCAAUGAUCAAGCCCAUGUCAAUGGUUCAAUGUAUUGGUUGCUUCUUCUUGAAUAUUUGUCCAAUUAUAAACAUUUUAGUUGAGUUUUAGAAGUUCAGAAACAUAAAAUUGCAUUGAUCUUGUU